AGAGUUUGAUCAUGGCUCAGGACGAACGCUGGCGGCGCGCCUAACACAUGCAAGUCGAACGGGGUUGAGAGGAGCUUGCUUUUCUUGACUUAGUGGCGAACGGGUGAGUAACGCGUGAGGAACCUGCCUCAAAGAGGGGGACAACAGUUGGAAACGACUGCUAAUACCGCAUAAGCCCACGGUCCCGCAUGGGAGAGAGGGAAAAGGAGCAAUCCGCUUUGAGAUGGCCUCGCGUCCGAUUAGCUGGUUGGUGAGGUAACGGCCCACCAAGGCGACGAUCGGUAGCCGGACUGAGAGGUUGAACGGCCACAUUGGGACUGAGACACGGCCCAGACUCCUACGGGAGGCAGCAGUGGGGAAUAUUGCACAAUGGGGGAAACCCUGAUGCAGCGACGCCGCGUGGAGGAAGAAGGUCUUCGGAUUGUAAACUCCUGUUGUUGGGGAAAAAGAGGAUGGUACCCAACAAGGAAGUGACGGCUAACUACGUGCCAGCAGCCGCGGUAAAACGUAGGUCACGAACGUUGUCCGGAAUUACUGGGUGUAAAGGGUGCGUAGGCGGCCUUUUAAGUCAGCGGUGAAAGUCUGUGGCUCAACCAUAGAAUUGCCGUUGAAACUGGGGGGCUUGAGUAUGUUUGAGGCAGGCGGAAUGCGUGGUGUAGCGGUGAAAUGCUUAGAUAUCACGCAGAACCCCGAUUGCGAAGGCAGCCUGCCAAGCCAUGACUGACGCUGAUGCACGAAAGCGUGGGGAUCAAACAGGAUUAGAUACCCUGGUAGUCCACGCAGUAAACGAUGAUCACUAGCUGUUUGCGAUACAGUGUAAGCGGCACAGCGAAAGCGUUAAGUGAUCCACCUGGGGAGUACGC
rnacentral:rRNA from 1 species